UACCAGACUCCUACGGGAGGCAGCAGUGAGGAAUAUUGGUCAAUGGGCGGAAGCCUGAACCAGCCAAGUCGCGUGAGGGAAGAAGGCCCUGCGGGUCGCAGACCUCUUUGGACGGGGAGCAAGGCCGCCGACGUGUCGGCGGAAGGAGAGUACCCGUAGAACAAGCAUCGGCUAACUCCGUGCCAGCAGCCGCGGUAAUACGGAGGAUGCGAGCGUUAUCCGGAUUCACUGGGCGUAAAGGGAGCGCAGGCGGCACGGCAAGUCCGGUGUGAAAGCCCGGGGCCCAACCCCGGGACUGCACUGGAAACUGCCGGGCUGGAGUGUCGGAGGGGCAGGCGGAAUUCCUAGUGUAGCGGUGAAAUGCGUAGAUAUUAGGAGGAACACCGGUGGCGAAGGCGGCCUGCUGGACGACGACUGACGCUGAGGCUCGAAAGCGUGGGGAGCAAACAGGAUUAGAUACCCCAGUAC
rnacentral:rRNA from 1 species